rnacentral:rRNA from 1 species
UACGGGGGGGGGUAAGCGUUGUUCGGAAUUACUGGGCGUAAAGGGCUCGUAGGCGGCCAACUAAGUCAUACGUGAAAUCCCUCAGCUUAACUGGGGAACUGCGUGUGAUACUGGAUGGCUUGGAUUUGGGAGAGGGAUGCGGAAUUCCAGGUGUAGCGGUGAAAUGCGUAGAUAUCUGGAGGAACACCGGUGGCGAAGGCGGCAUCCUGGACCAAUAUUGACGCUGAGGAGCGAAAGCGUGGGGAGCAAACAGGG